rnacentral:misc_RNA from 1 species
AACGCACGAGACCUGCGGACCUGCGGAGGGAUCAUUAAAAAUGCGGCCGCAUUCGAUUGAAUGGGGUCAAACUUUUAUUCUGUGCACUGUUUUAUUUUUUGGCUGGGAAUUUAUUCUCGGUCAAUUGGCUGGGGAAUUUGCUCUUUCCUUUGGGAUAGAGUCGAAUUUCCCAGUGUUAUUAUACUAUUCUGACUGAACCAAAACAGAAAAUUGUUUAACUAAAUAACAACUUUUAACAAU